rnacentral:lncRNA from 1 species
GCGAGCCCCUCCCUGGAGCUGCCCUUGGAGGGCACCUGCUUCAGGUCUCAUCUCCAGGGUGGUGCUGGGGACCGGGCACUGUCUCCUGAACAGUCCCACAUGGUGGCCUGGGCGGCAUGCCUGUGGGAUGGGGAAACCGAGGCACAGACAGUCACGUGCUCUUCCAGUUGCAGGUUAGACCCCACUUGCGGUUGUGUGUUCCAGAAGUCUCCGGGCGCUGUGUGGCAGGAUGAGGAGCUGCCCCCCUGGAGGAUCACGCAGGCCUCUGGGUGGCAUUCAGCAGGGUUGGCUGCGGCACCGGCUGACCACAGGGCCCAACUUUCCAGUCCCAGCCGGAGGGAAGCGUCUCAACCAUGUUGUAGGCACACGGGUGAGGGUGCUGCCUGCCUCCCUGACUCUUACCUCCCCAAGAGAGGAAAACAAAAGAAAAAAAGAUAAGACCAGGAAAUGGAAAUAAGACAAAGAAGAAUGAAAUUUUAAAAUCCGAACAAACCCAAACAUGCUGUUUCAAAACGUAAGUCCAUGAAGAGUCUCGUGGUGAGAAAGACAGAAUUCCUAGCCAGGAAAAUGCCCCGUGCUUGCCCCUCGGAGGCAGGUGCUCACCACGGCAGGGUCUAUCUAGGUGUUUAUUAAGGUGUCUCACCACGUAUCGCCCAGAUUCACCAGAGAUGCAGAGGCGGAGGAUACGUUCCUGUUUACAUUGAUACAUAGUUACAUAGGUGAAGAGCUUUACAGCGAGGAAGCGGCUCACGCGGCCAUGAGGGACCCAGGCAGGAGCUGCUGUUGCUGCCCCAGCAACUCCACGAGUGCUCGAUGGGAAACUGCAGACAGCAGCCUUGCCAAGCGGAUGCCCAGGGCCGACCACCGCAGCCCCUCCAGCCACGUUCUCCAUCAGGGCAGCCUCCUGCUGGCUUCGGCACUGCAGGCAGCACACCAGCGAGGGGUGGGGCUGUGUGCCACGAAGCGUCAUCCAUGGACAUGCCACGAAGGGUUAUUCUUCUUUUGACUUUUUCUGAUGGUUUAAAACUGUAAGAACAUGCAGCUCACAGUCCGCACGGAAGCAGGCAUGUGGCUCCUGCCUCACUGUGGGAGGAAAGAUGUUCUCUAAAGAAAUGGCUGGGUUUGCGGAGGG